GCCCUAUUGUUUACUUCAUUAAUGUGUUUACUGUGUUAAUGGACUGAAGAUGGGAGUAGGAUUCGGUAUUCGAUUUUGGAUUCGGCAGAAUCUUAGCCAGUGGAUUCAGUAUUCGACUGAACCCAAAAAAUCUGGAUUCGGUGCAUCCCUUUUGUAAACUACUUGCAC